AGGGGCCCCAAGGCCUAUACUUUUAAUGAAAGUAAUGAAAACAUAAGUAUUCAUGUCAGAGUGUAGCUAAAGCAGAAAUGAAAUCUAACCCAGAUAUCAUUGAUUGAUUUUACGCCUUUUUAAAAAAAGAUUUUAUUUAUUUAUUUGUCAGAGAGUGAGAGCACAAGCAGAGAGAACAGCAGGUACAGGGAGAAGCAGGCUCCCCGCUGAGCAGGGAGCCCAAGGCAGGACUCAGUCCGGUGAUGCUGGGAUCAUGAAGGCAGACGCUUAACCGCCUGAGCUGCCCAAGCACCCCUAUGUUGUUGUUGCUGUUGUUUUUUUAACUUGAGUGAACCUUUUCUUUCUAAAUGGUACUAUUGUUAAAUGUCUGUCACAGAGAAGAUAAUCCAACAUAAUGCCAUUACACAGAUUUAUAGCUGACCUUUGAAAUGUAAGUCAGAAUGCUCCUUUUAGAAAAAACAUAAUUUUAUUUCUAUUUCCCUUCAGAAAAAAGUCUUUAUGACUUCUGCAGUAUCCAAACAGUUCAUCCUUGGUGUCCUUUAAACCUGUGUUUGCAGAUGACGGACAGAUCGGAUUGUUGCAUUGCACAGCCUGGCUUUCUGUUAGAGCACAGCACUUUAAAAACUCAUCCUAGCAACGGAGGCUAAGUUCUUCCAUGAGCAGAGUGAGUACAAUGAGCCUGUCUGUAUUAAUCACUAGAGAGAGAGAAAGAGAGAGUGCACACCAGCGCGGCAGGGUGUAUGGAGGAGGGAGAGGGACAAGCAGACUCCAUGCUGAGCCAGAGGAGAACUCGAUCUCACAACCCCGAUAUCAUGAGCUAAGCUGAAAUCAGGAGUCAGAUGCUCAACCGAGCCACCCAGGCAUCCCUGGGCUGAACUCUGCAGUCAAGACUGGUCAUCAGCGAGAAGAUGAAAAUAUGCCUUAUGGUAAGGAUACUGCCAGUCUCAAGAGUGAGGGAAAGGAAGAGGCGGAGUCUUCGGGCCAGAGCUUGUACUGCAUCUGAGAAAUGAGAAAUGAGUUGGCAACUGGGGAACGAGCUCUCUUCCAUCAAGAACGCCAGUUGCCAAAGUAAAAUAAGGAAACUGAUUUUGUUUGUUGAAGGCAGAGGAGACAAGACAAUUCUGAUUUGGGGGCUUCUCCCUGUCCAGCGUUUAGCCACUGUUAGCAAGAACUGGAACCUGACUUCCACAGGUAGUCUUUUAAAUGUUUUAAAUGGUCAUCAACCACAGCAAGUGAAGGAUUCCAGCUGAACUCAGGGUUGAACAAUGUGGCUCAAGAAGCACCUUUUCUGGAAUUAUGGAAAGCCACAAACAAACCCAGAAGUAGAAGAGAAAUAUUUGAGAAGGUCUAACUCUAUAAAUACUUCUUGUCAGGCUGGCGAAUGCUUCUGACAACAUAUAUUCAAUUGCAUUUCUAAGACUGGAACUCAAACUACAUAAGUUAAGUCUCAAGAGCCCUUUCAUAUAGUCGGACUAUUAUGGAGUUUUGAAAUUUUUGAUUCAUCUUGGAGUAUUCUAUUGAGUAUUUUUUUCCCAAGAGAAGUACACGUGUAGACUUUUGGGGCAUUUUAGUAUUGGAGAAUGUCUUUGUGGAUGUUCCUCAGUCAUAAUCCUGUCCUUAUAAACUCCAUAGCCAUUUCUCUAAUGUGUUUUGCCAAUUGGGGUUGCUAGGGAGACAUCUUAAUUCAGCAUUUUUGGGGGUGUAUUUGUAAACAAUUGGUAAUUACUACUUCAUCUGUUGUCCAUAUUUUUUCCUCCUUAUUUUUCAAUCUCGGUCCAUUAAACUCACAUUUUGAUUCUGAUAUUGAAAAUAA